rnacentral:rRNA from 1 species
ACAUGCAGAGAACUUUCCAGAGAUGGAUUGGUGCCUUCGGGAACUCUGACACAGGUGCUGCAUGGCUGUCGUCAGCUCGUGUCGUGAGAUGUUGGGUUAAGUCCCGUAACGAGCGCAACCCUUGUCCUUAGUUACCAGCACGUUAUGGUGGGCACUCUAAGGAGACUGCCGGUGUUAAACCGGAGGAAGGUGGGGAUGACGUCAAGUCCUCAUGGCCUUUAUGACCAGGGCUACACACGUACUACAAUGGCCGAUACAAAGGGCAGCGACACUGCGAGGUGAAGCCAAUCCCGUAAAAUCGGUCUCAGUCCGGAUUGGAGUCUGCAACUCGACUCCAUGAAGUUGGAAUCGCUAGUAAUCGUGGAUCAGCAUGCCACGGUGAAUACGUUCCCGGGCCUU